rnacentral:lncRNA from 1 species
UUUUUGUAUAUGAGUACAUUGUAGCUGACACACCAGAAGAGGGCAUCAGAUCCCAUUACAAAUGGUUGUGAACCACCAUGUGGUUGCUGGGAAUUGAACUCAGGACCUCUGGAAGAGCAGUCAAUGCUCUUAACCGCUGAGCCAUCUCUCCAGCUCCCUUUUAAACUUCUUAGUAGCAGCAUUAAUUCUUGCUUGGUUUCAGUUCUGACAACCACAGCAGUCAGGAGUUUGAGUAAGAGGUAUGGUGGGAAAGAUGGCUUAGCUUCUUGUAGAGGGCCAGAAUUUGGCUCCCAGCACCCACAUUGGUUGCUCACAACCACCUGUAACUCUAGCUCCAAGAGGAGCUGACACCCACCUCUGGAUGCCAAGGGCACUAGCCCUCAUGUGCAUGUACCCCCUCAUAAUUAAAAAUAAAAUAUAUUUUCUUUAAAAAUUGCCAUUCUCAAGGUUGGGAGUCAGGGUGAAGAGUAACAUCCCUCUGCCUUCACAUUCCUGCUGUGACAGACUGCUGUGAGCUAAAAGUAGACCCCUUUCUCUCUUAACUCACUCUGUCAGUGUUUUAUGACAGCAACAGAAAAGAGACCUAGAUACCUGCCUCUUCCCUAUGGUUCUGAGAUCUGUGAGGGUUGGAGGAGGAGGGAAGAUACGGCCCCUCAUAUUCUGGGGGCACAAUCACAGGGGCGGGGCAAGGGUAGAGGAAGUCACUUCUCAGAUUCCACUGAGGACUGCGCAGACUCACUGCUGGGCCUGCCUAGCCAUCCUCUGAACUCCACUCCUGCGGAGCAGACUGGCAAAGUCAAAAGAAAGCUCUUUAAAAGACAGAUCUCAGCCCUGUGCCUUGCAUUUCUGAUUGCCAAGAUUCUGCCCUCCUGGCCUGGCCAUUCCCACCCUUCUGCAUUUCAUCCAUUUUCUGUGUUCCAGAGCUCUCAGGAAUAUCAAGGAUGAAAACAGCCCCAAGCAUCCCUUUCUCCCAUGCUCUCCCUUCCUUGAGGAUUGAGGGAGUUUUGAGGAGAGAUGUUGGUCAGUUCACAGAGAAGUGAGGGAAGGAGGGAGGAGAGACCUGGGAAGUGGGUUCAGGAUGCAACUUGUCUGAGUCUACUGAGAAAAUUAUAUAAAAAUUACAUAAGUGGACUUAUUACUAGAAAUAGAAAGGGUCAGUGGAAGCCUGGGUUUGCUGUGAGCCACGUCCCCAAGGCUGCCCUUGCCCAGGACAUAAGGUGUCUUGUCCUGUACUGCACUUAUAUGGCAGUUGAGAGGUCCAAGAAGGGAAGCCACUAUGAAUUUUAUACUGAGGUGAUGGGAUCUGCCGUGCCAUAGCAUGGGAGGCUUUCCUGGUUCUGGUCUGCUUGUCUCAAGAUAACUCCUUGCUAGCAUGUCCUGUGGCUGUGCUUGGGAACAAGUGAGAGGGUGAGUGAGAAUCCAUAAUCCAAGGGCACGUGGAGAAGAUGACUCCAGAAAGCUCAGAGUGGGAGUCGCUUAGGAAGCCUACUAUGGGAUACUAGGCCCACUGUGGGAUGCCAGGCCUACUGUGGGACACUGGGCCUACUGUGAGAUGCCAGGCCUAUUGUGGGAUUCUAGGCCUACUGUGAGAUGCCAGGCCUUCUGUGGGACACUGGGUCUACUGUGGGACACUGGGCCUACUGUGGGAUGCCAGGCCUCCUGUGAGACACUGGGCCUACUGUGGGACACUGGGCCUACUGUGGGAUGCUAGGCCUACUGUGGGAUGCCAGGCCUACUGUGGGACACUGGGCCUACUGUGAGAUGCCAGGCCUACUGUGGGAUUCUAGGCCUACUGUGAGAUGCCAGGCCUUCUGUGGGACACUGGGUCUACUGUGGGACACUGGGCCUACUGUGGGAUGCCAGGCCUCCUAUGAGACACUGGGCCUACUGUGGGAUGCUAGACCUACUGUGGGACGCUAGGCCUACUGUGAGAUGCCAGGCCUUCUGUGAGAUGCCAGGCCUAUUGUGGGACACUGGGCCUACUGUGAGAUGCCAGGCCUUCUGUGAGAUGCCAGGCCUAUUGUGGGACACUGGGCCUACUGUGAGAUGCCAGGCCUACUGUGGGAUGCUAGGCUGUUUUUUGUUUCUCAGACUUGGGAUAUAUAAUCUGAUGGACUUAACUGUGGUCUGCAUUUUUCAGACUCUCUCAUCCCACUGACUACCUUCGUUCCUCUUCUAUUAUUUCUUUUACCUUUCUAAAAGUGAUCAGAUAUGACAUUAAUAUUUGUUGAUCCUUAAGUACCAGGUGCCAUACUAAAUAUUUUAAGUUGUCUCAUGAUAGCUCUAUGAAGUAGAUUUCUUGAGUGCUGUUUCUGUUCAUACAAGCCACUUUUCUUUCUCUUUUAAUUAUUUUUACUACUAUGUCAUCAUCAUCAUCAUCAUCAUCAAAGACAGGGACUAACUGUGAGGCCCUGGCUGUCCUAGAACUUGCUACAAAGAUCAGGCUUUGAACUCACAGAGAUUUUCUUGCCUUUGCCUUCCAAGUGCUAGGACUAAAGGCCUGUGCCACUGUGCCUGGUUCUGACUCACUGUUUUUGAGACAAGGUUUUGCUAUGUGUUCCAGGAUGGCUUUGGACUUAUGGCACUCUUUAUGCUUCAGCCUCUCCAGUGAAGCAUUACAGCGUUUGCCACUUUCUAUAGUAGUGGUGGUGGGGCUAUCAACCACACUGCUGUGAUUCCAGUAUGCCAAUCCUUGGACACUGUGAUUGAUUAAAGGCCUGAGCAACUAACCAGAGCUUCUCAUGAGAUUUGAUGUUUGGAUGCUAGACCAGUAACUGUGAGAAUUUAGACGGGAAAUAGACUGACUGUUGAGUUAUAAUCAGGACACCUGUAUCAACCCUUUUCUCCCUGCUAUGUCUCAGGGAUCACAGUAGAUGAGGCAGGGGAUGGGGAGGUAUGCUGUAAAAUGCAGUUUUCUCACCAUGAAUGACAUGUCUAGCCUAUUCAUGAAUGCACCGAAGCUGUGGUUACCUACAUAAGACCUCCACAAGAUCAGCUAGCCAAAACUCUGUCAUAGAUGGGGUAGAUGAACUCUAGGUCCACCCCUUACUGAGGAGCUAUUGGCAGUUGAUAGCUGUGAGGGGUGGGGCAGGGAUCAUUCUUUUUGGAGGAUGUGGCUACUGGCCAGUUUCUUAUGCUCCCGUGGAUGGCCCCACACCCAUGCACAUAUGGGCAGCACUAACUGGGCAGCACUAACUGGGCAGCACUAACUGGGCUUAGUGGUUUAUC